rnacentral:lncRNA from 1 species
AAACAGAAAAGGAAAUAAUUAGAACCCUGACAUUAGAUGGAACUUCAGAAAACAAAGAAAGACAAGAAGACUAAAAGAACAUGAAAUCUUCAUUGAAGAAUUUGUAAACUAUUGAUAACAGAAAAAACAUAACUCUACCAUAGAGAGGUACUGCAAAUGAUAAGACUCGGCUUUGAAUAAGAAAGCUAAGUUACUGAAUCUAUUGAAAUCCUAUAUAUCAAGAACAUUAUGCAAACCGAUGAUUUCAACAAACUAAUGAACAAAUCCAGUUCAGUGGAUCACCACAAAAUGGAUAUGUAAAAUAACAAAUCUUCUGCAAAAACAGAAUGAAUCCAUCAAACAAUAUAUGGUCGGAGAAUCAAGCAAGAGGGGAAAAGAUCUCAACAGCUGCAAAUGAUACGAAAGGGUCACGGUCUUCGUGAUAUUAAAUAUGCACAUAAAUUUUGAAUUAACAUAUGCACGCAUAAUUUGAAUUAAUAAAUAUACACAUAUAAUUUGAAUCUACGAAAAAUAUAUAAAAAAGCAGCGAUUUUGAGGAGCCACUGAAUUUCAAAUUCCAACAAAACAAAUCUGAUCCAACAAAAAAAAGUAUAGAACCACAAAAAAUCAAUAAAAUGCUGAUAUUUAUCCAAAAACCUUACUAAAAAUAAGAGAACAUCCAACAAAACCUAGGGUUAGUGAACGAAAAUACAUUAAUCAAUACUCAUCAGACAACGAGAGAAAUUUCUGAGAAAAACAUUAGACCGUAAAAAUCAUUCGACCACUGAAUAAAACUAUGAGAGUAAAGAGUGAUUAAGAUCUGAACAAAUCAAGCGGAAUCAUGAAACCAUAGAUGAUAUAACUAAGAAUCUAUAUAUGAAAAGGAAAAUCAUGAAAUCAUAGAUGAUAUAACUAAAAUCUAAAUAUAAAAAGGAAAAUAAUGCCGUCUAUUCAGUAAAUAAGAGGAAAUACAUGAAACCCUAAACCCUAAGUGUACCUCGCUUCGACAUUUUGCUAGUGCAGACAAUGCAACGAGGAAGACGGCCUUUUCUGGAGUUUUGGCCUUUAACCCUCAAAUAUAUAUAGUGAG